rnacentral:rRNA from 1 species
GGUGCUGCAUGGCUGUCGUCAGCUCGUGUCGUGAGAUGUUCGGUUAAGUCCGCUAACGAGCGCAACCCUCGCUGUGUGUUAUAUGUGUCACACGGGGACUGCCGGUCUUAAGCCGGAGGAAGGUGGGGAUGAUGUCAAGUCAGCAUGGCCUUUAUAUCCUGGGCUACACACACGCUACAAUGGCCAACACAAUAGGUUGCUAAGCCGCGAGGUGGCGCCAAUCCAUAAAGUUGGUCUCAGUUCAGAUUGUAGGCUGCAACCCGCCUGCAUGAAGAUGGAGUUGCUAGUAACCGCAGGUCAGCUAUACUGCGGUGAAUACGUUCCCGGGGCUU